AUCAGGUUUGUUUUAUAAAUGAGGCACAGCAAGAGCUUCACAACAUUACCAAUAAAAUAGAACAAGUGUAACAGCAUACUAGCAUCUUUACGUAGAAGUUGGGAAAUUGCUUCUUUCUAGAAGUUUCCAUCUACUCUUUUUGGGUUGCAGGUAACUGGAACCGCAGCAAUUGGAACCAUGAGGAACCCCCUGUAUCUGCACAAUGACCUUCAGAGCACUAAAGACUCAAGAGCAAACUCUGCUCCCAAGGCUGCCAAGUGCUGUGAGGUGCUCAAUGCUGGUGGGGAGAGCCAUAGCAGGAGACCAAGUCCAAAUGCACCUUCCUGGGAGGAUCGUGGAGCUGGAGGCUGGCCCUGGAAACUGAAGAGGACUAAGUCUAUUUCCCAGGAGAGAAAUCCAAGCCUUGUCCUCAAUGGCCUUUCUCUUGUCCCCUUUGUAUCCAUGUGUCACUGCAUUCUCUGGACGCUUCAUUGACCCCUGUGGGCCUUCGAAUCUUCCCAAUCUUUGGUCUGAUCCCUUGGCCCUAGCUCUUUCUUUAUGGCCUCGUGGCCUCUAGUCUUGCCUGAUCAAAUCCACACUGGCUUCCAGAACCAUCUUUUUCAAACCCAGUUCUGAUCAUGCCAUGUCUCCACUCAAGAGCCUCCCAUACCCCACCUCCGAUUAGGGCUCCACUUUGGGAUAAAAUAAUAUGAAGACUCAGCCAUGUACAGUUACCAAGAGUCAAUCACACAUGACCUACAGAAAUGGAAAUCUCUCGUGGUUCUUCUAAUAUUGGUAAUGCUGAUAACCACAGUGUAUUAAGCCCUUGCACUGCGCUAAGUCCGUAUGCUGCAAACACAUCCUCCCCAUAAGUUUUCCAUUCCCUUCCCCCUGUUGUCUGCUUCCCUCUGUUUUUGUCUGCUUCUGCAUGUUUCCUCCGUAUCAUGGUCUCAUUCACUCAGGCUGCCCACUCUCUCUCGGCGGUCUUCCUCCCAGUGUUUAUUUCUUUCUCCUUGUUUCUGCUUUCUCUGAGUAUCUUCCCAUCUCUGCUCCAUCUCUAGCUGUCCUUCUUGGAUGUCUGUCUCAUUAUUGCUCCCCAUCCCCACCCCCAUUCG
rnacentral:lncRNA from 1 species